rnacentral:rRNA from 1 species
UACGUAGGCGGAAUAAUAAGUCAGUGGUGAAAUCCCAGAGCUCAACUCUGGAACUGCCAUUGAUACUGUUGCCCUUGAGUAUAGUUGAGGUGGGCGGAAUAUGUAAUGUAGCGGUGAAAUGCAUAGAUAUUACAUAGAACACCAAUUGCGAAGGCAGCUCACUAAGCUAUCACUGACGCUGAGGCACGAAAGCGUGGGGAGCGAACAGGAUUAGAUACCCUGGUAGUCC